UACGUAGGGUGCAAGCGUUAAUCGGAAUUACUGGGCGUAAAGCGUGCGUAGGCGGUUUUGUAAGUCAGAGGUGAAAUCCCCGGGCUCAACCUGGGAACUGCCUUUGUGACUGCAAGGCUUGAGUGCGGCAGAGGGGGAUGGAAUUCCGCGUGUAGCAGUGAAAUGCGUAGAUAUGCGGAGGAACACCGAUGGCGAAGGCAAUCCCCUGGGCCUGCACUGACGCUCAUGCACGAAAGCGUGGGGAGCAAACAGG
rnacentral:rRNA from 1 species